AGAGAGUGCAAGCGUUAAUCGGAAUUACUGGGCGUAAAGCGCGCUAGGUGGAUAUUUUAGUCGGGUGUGAAAGCCCCGGGCUUAACCCGGGAACUGCAUCCGAUACUGGAUAUCUAGAGUAUAGUAGAGGGAAGUGGAAUUUCCGGUGUAGCGGUGAAAUGCGUAGAUAUCGGAAAGAACACCAGUGGCGAAGGCGGCUUCCUGGACUAAUACUGACACUGAGGUGCGAAAGCGUGGGGAGCAAACAGGAUUAGAGACCCUGGUAGUCCACGCCGUCAACGAUGAGAACUAGACGUUGGGAGGCUUGCCUCUUAGUGUCGAAGCUAACGCGUUAAGUUCUCCGCCUGGGGAGUACGGCCGCAAGGUUA
rnacentral:rRNA from 1 species